rnacentral:lncRNA from 1 species
CGGGUUUGGACCUUUUCCUUUUGGACUGAGAAAACUCAAUAGAUAGAGAGAGAGAGAGAGAGAAACGUUUCUGUAUCUUAUCGGGUUUUGUGUUGUCAGCAGAAGAAGGCUCUACGACAAAAAAAAUCAAAGGCAAUUAUUUUUAGGGUUCAAACGAAGAAAAAUUUGUAGCUUUCGAGAACUUACUGUGUGUGGUGGCUUUUCUAAAGACCGAAGCUUUUUUUCUUCUUCUGUCUCCCAAUUUGUGAGUCUAUCUCUCUCCGUAAGCUCUUUACUUUAUUUGCUCUGUUUCUUUCUUCUUUUACUCUGUUUCCUUACUCAAUUUUUUUUUGUCUUGAUUUAUACAUUCUUUAGUAGUUGCUUAAAAUCUAAGUCUUCAGCUUUUGAUUUCCUUUAUGCAACUCCCGUGAUCAAAACAUUUACCAUCUUUGAUUAUGUUACCAGAUUCUUUCUACUCAUAGUUUUUGUACAAGUUGAACUCUUCUUGUUUACAUUAACUUUUAUAUAGUUCUCCGAGAGUGACUUUUUUGUUCUCCUUCUGAUCCGUGGAGGGUUCUGUGUUCUGUUUUUGGGGUUUUCUUCUCCUGUUUUUAGGGACUCUAAGUGAUUCAUGCAUAUAUUGUGUUAUUGUCUGUUUAUGAGUAUUUCUUUGGAUAUCAUUUCAGCUAGGUAAUGAUAUCAUAUUUUUAAUUUUUUUGUUUGAGCUUAUAAUUGUGCUUACAAAUCUUAUAAUAUAUAUAUAAGCUGCUGUGAAGUUGAUCACAAACACUUGCCUACUUCGUUGACCUUACCUUUGUCUUGGCUUAAUAUUUCUAAUCCAAAUGUAUUGGUUGGUCCGAAACAAGAUCCUCAUUCAUUAAUUAACCUUGAAACCUUUCUGGUCUGUAUUUUACAUUAGGAUGGUAAACUUGUACCUCAUAUGAAAUAUCUUGUUAGUACAUCUUGUGUUUGAUGACUUUACGCAUUUCUUAUUGA